CGAGCUUCCCAGCCCGCGGCAACCCCGAGGCGGGACUCCCAGACCCCCUGAUUAAAUUUUAGGGUUUUCCAGCGGUACAACUGUGCAAAUGGGAGCGGUCAGGCCGAGGCCGGCUUCGCUUCGCCCCUCUGCUGCUACGCGGAGCCUCUCCCGCCCGAGGCACUGUCUAGAAACUCAAAAUCCCCGGAAUCCCGUGCAUGACUUGGACACCAAGUUUUUCGACCCUGGGCAACCUCGAAUGGAGAACCGAGUCCCUCAGGAGACAUCCCAUGUCCCUUUCUCACCCACCCAUUCUAAUCUGCCCCAACUGCUUCCUCUUGUGCACAUUUAUCUCCCUGAGCUCCUUCCUUGGCUUCGUUCUUGGGUCCUGCUCCCACGCACGGACUUCCUAAACAAGUCGGAUCACUUUUCCAGGAGAUCCGUUGUAUAACUGUGGUUGCGAUUAAGAUCUUUCCAGGUCUUUUUCUCUAAUCAGCGCCAGUUCUCCCAAACCGUCCUCCACUGGGGAGCAAGAAUCUCAUAUGUACCAGUUACAAGCCCGCACCUCUUUUUUCCCUCGCUUUUAUGCUUGUUUUGAUUGCAAACCACCAAUUGAGAAGGACUAGGAUUCCAGUGUGCAGUUAUUGCCAUCAAGACAUGAUCUACCUGAACCAUCUGCAUAUUGAUAAACAUAAAACCAUUUUUUUCCCAGUCUCAGCUGCAGUAAGUUCCCCGGUGAGGAAUUCCCUAUGGAUCCCACUGUCUGGCAUUGCUGGGCAGACUCUCUGAAAAUGACUGCGUCUGUGUGGGUUGAUUCCGUUGCAAUGUUGAGGACUCACUAUUCUACUUUGUGAGGGGUCUGGACUAGAUGGUCAGAUGACCUGUUCCAGAUUCGGUAUCUGCACUGCCUCUGGUUAGAUCCUCUGGCCUGCCUUUAAGGAAACAGGCUUUCUUAGACCUCCAGGGGGCAGCCCUAUACCAGCUGUUAUGAGGGACAGGGUCGGAUUGUUGGGAGGAAGAGGAUAGGAUUUCUAUCCCUUGCUCAGGCAGACGGCGGCACCAAACAAAGAGUUGCUGAUGAAGACACCUGCACAGCACCCUUCAGGACAGGCAUGGGGUGGGGCAGAGAUGAGCCAUCUUUUUUUUAUUAUUAAUAUUAUGUUAUGUUAAUCACCAUACAUUACAUCAUUAGUUUUUGUUUUGUUUUGUUUUGUUUUACAUCAUUAGUUUUAGAAGGCUAACCCAUCCCCCCACCCCCCUCCCCUCUAGAACCCUCAGUUUGUUUCUCAGAGUCCAUAGCCUCUCAUGGUUCGUCUCCCCCUCCGAUUUCCCCCCUUCAUUCUUCCCCUCCUGCUAUCAUCUUCUUCUUCUUCUUGUGUCUACACUUUGCAUGUGUGUGUGCGUGUAUGUGUUUGAGUG